GCGUAUCAGUGUUGUUUUACCUGUGCGCAGUGGAGUGCGAUCAACGCCUGGAUCAUGGAAGCGACAGUAAAUUAGGAUUACGAAAACGAAAAUGUCCGACAGUAUCGAGGAACUGGUGAAGAAGUACGAACAUAAUGUCUUCGGCCAGGAAUACCCGCGAAGCAUUGGCAACAUCCCCAUUGCUUCGAGAAAAGGAUGGUACGGCCGUG